rnacentral:rRNA from 1 species
GCAUAUCAAUAAGCGGAGGAAAAGAAACCAACAGGGAUUGCCCUAGUAACGGCGAGUGAAGCGGCAACAGCUCAAAUUUGAAAUCUGGCUGCUUAUGUAGUCCGAGUUGUAAUUUGUAGAGGAUGCUUUUGGUGAAGUGCUUUCUGAGUUCCCUGGAACGGGACGCCAGAGAGGGUGAGAGCCCCGUACAGUUAGUAACCGAUCCUUUGUAUAGCUCCUUCGACGAGUCGAGUAGUUUGGGAAUGCUGCUCUAAAUGGGAGGUAUAUCUCUUCUAAAGCUAAAUAUAGGCUAGAGACCGAUAGCGCACAAGUAGAGUGAUCGAAAGAUGAAAAGCACUUUGAAAAGAGAGUUAAACAGCACGUGAAAUUGUUGAAAGGGAAGCGCCUAUGACCAGACUUGUCUCUAUCAGUUUUGGUAGUUUUCGGACUGCUUUACUCUGUUAGUACAGGCCAACAUCAGUUUGUUGUCGGGGAGAAAGGCUUAGGGAACGUGGCUCCUUCUGGAGUGUUAUAGACCUUUGCAUAAUACCCUUCAGCAGACUGAGGACCGCGCUUCGGCAAGGAUGUUGGCGUAAUGGUCAUCAGCGACCCGUCUUGAAACACGGACC